UGGGGAAUCUUGGACAAUGGGCGAAAGCCUGAUCCAGCAAUGCCGCGUGAGUGAAGAAGGCCUUCGGGUUGUAAAGCUCUUUCGGACGGGACGAAAUGGCAUCCACUAAUACUGGGUGUCGAUGACGGUACCGUAAGAAGAAGCACCGGCUAACUACGUGCCAGCAGCCGCGGUAAUACGUAGGGUGCGAGCGUUAAUCGGAAUUACUGGGCGUAAAGCGUGCGCAGGCGGUUCGUUAAGACAGAUGUGAAAUCCCCGGGCUCAACCUGGGAACUGCAUUUGUGACUGGCGGACUAGAGUUCGGUAGAGGGGGGUGGAAUUCCACGUGUAGCAGUGAAAUGCGUAGAGAUGUGGAGGAACACCAAUGGCGAAGGCAGCCCCCUGGGCCUGAACUGACGCUCAUGCACGAAAGCGUGGGGAGCAAACAGG
rnacentral:rRNA from 1 species